rnacentral:tRNA from 2 species
GCCGAGGUAGCUCAGUUGGUAGAGCGAGGGACUGAAAAUCCCUGUGUCGGCAGUUCGAUUCUGUCCCUCGGCACCA